UUCAAGAUAAUAUAUUUUUGUAUUAUAGAAAUAUCUCACUCUUAUUAAAUUGCAAGAAUCCUGACAGAAAUUAAAAAAGAUUUGCGAUAAGCCAGUGGAGCUACCAAUCAGAGACGACGUGAGAUUGGAAUUCUAGUAGAUAUGUUUCUUAUCAUGCAUGCACUUGUGUUCCAAGAUUCCAGAUCGACUGCUGCAAUGUUCCUCCAUAAAACUAAUAUCCAAUCCUCUGAAAGCCCAGAUCCAUGGGUUGAUUAGUAAUAAUAAAGUAAACUAGAAUAAAAGAAAAAAAUGGAAAUGAGUGAAAACAAAACUAGCAGAAAAGAAAACAAGAAAAAUAAAUGGAAAAUAG
rnacentral:lncRNA from 1 species